UACGAAGGGUCCAAGCGUUGUUCGGAAUCAUUGGGCGUAAAGCGCGCGCAGGCGGAUCAGUAAGUCAGGUGUGAAAUUUCGAGGCUCAACCUCGAGACUGCGCCUGAAACUACUAGUCUAGAAUGUCGGAGGGGGCAGGGGAAUUUCACGUGUAGGGGUAAAAUCCGUAGAGAUGUGAAGGAACACCGGAGGCGAAGGCGCCUGCCUGGACGACUAUUGACGCUGAGGCGCGAAAGCGUGGGGAGCAAACAGG
rnacentral:rRNA from 1 species